UACGAAGGGGGCUAGCGUUGUUCGGAUUUACUGGGCGUAAAGGGCGCGUAGGCGGUUUUGUAAGUCAGGCGUGAAAGCCCCGGGCUCAACCCGGGAAUUGCGCUUGAUACUGCGGGACUUGAAUCCAGGAGAGGAUGGCGGAAUUCCCAGUGUAGAGGUGAAAUUCGUAGAUAUUGGGAAGAACACCAGUGGCGAAGGCGGCCAUCUGGCCUGGAAUUGACGCUGAGGCGCGAAAGCGUGGGGAGCAAAC
rnacentral:rRNA from 1 species